AGUGAACGCUGGCGGUAGGCCUAACACAUGCAAGUCGAACGGCAGCACAGUAAGAGCUUGCUCUUACGGGUGGCGAGUGGCGGACGGGUGAGGAAUACAUCGGAAUCUACUUUUUCGUGGGGGAUAACGUAGGGAAACUUACGCUAAUACCGCAUACGACCUACGGUUGAAAGCAGGGGAUCUUCGGACCUUGCGCGAUUGAAUGAGCCGAUGUCGGAUUAGCUAGUUGGCGGGGUAAAGGCCCACCAAGGCGACGAUCCGUAGCUGGUCUGAGAGGAUGAUCAGCAACACUGGAACUGAGACACGGUCCAGACGACUACGGGAGGCAGCAGUGGGGAAUAUUGGACAAUGGGCGGAAGCCUGAUCCAGCCAUACCGCGUGGGUGAAGAAGGCCUUCGGGUUGUAAAGCCCUUUUGUUGGGAAAGAAAAGCAGCAGGUUAAUACCCAGCUGUUCUGACGGUACCCAAAGAAUAAGCACCGGCUAACUUCGUG
rnacentral:rRNA from 1 species